UACGUAGGGAGCAAGCGUUGUCCGGAUUUACUGGGUGUAAAGGGUGCGUAGGCGGCUUUGCAAGUCAGAUGUGAAAUCUAUGGGCUCAACCCAUAAACUGCAUUUGAAACUGUAGAGCUUGAGUGAAGUAGAGGCAGGCGGAAUUCCCCGUGUAGCGGUGAAAUGCGUAGAGAUGGGGAGGAACACCAGUGGCGAAGGCGGCUUACUGGACGAUUACUGACGCUGAGGCUCGAAAGCGUGGGGAGCGAACAGG
rnacentral:rRNA from 1 species